rnacentral:rRNA from 1 species
CGUUUGAUGGAUUCAUAGUCAAACGAGGCGAACCGGGGAAACUGAAACAUCUCAGUACCCCGAGAAAAAGAAAUCAACCGAGAUUCCCCCAGUAGCGGCGAGCGAACGGGGAGCAGCCCAGAGUCAACAUCAAUAUUUACCACAGGAGAAGGGUCUGGAAAAGCCGGCAAUAAAGGGUGAUAGCCCCGUAUCUAAAGCGGUAAGUGUUGUGAACUCGAAGAGUAGGGCGGGACACGUGUUAUCCUGUCUGAAUAUGGGGGGACCAUCCUCCAAGGCUAAAUACUCCUGACUGACCGAUAGUGAACCAGUACCGUGAGGGAAAGGCGAAAAGAACCCCGGCGAGGGGAGUGAAAUAGAACCUAAAACCGUGUACGUACAAGCAGUAGGAGCACCCGAAAGGGUGUGACUGCGUACCUUUUGUAUAAUGAGUCAGCGACUUAUAUUCUGUAGCAAGGUUAACCGCAUAGGGGAGCCGUAGGGAAACCGAGUCUUAACUGGGCGUUAAGUUGCAGGGUAUAGACCCGAAACCCGGUGAUCUAGCCAUAAGCAGGUUGAAGGUUGGGUAACACUAACUGGAGGACC